GAUGAAGAACGUAGCGAAAUGCGAUAAGUAGUGUGAAUUGCAGAAUUCAGUGAAUCAUCGAAUCUUUGAACGCACAUUGCGCCCCUUGGUAUCCCGAGGGGCAUGCCUGUUCGAGCGUCAUUUCAACCCUCAUGCCCCUAGGGCGUGGUGUUGGGGAUCGGCCAAAGCCCGCGAGGGACGGCCGGCCCCUAAAUCUAGUGGCGGACCCGUCGUGGCCUCCUCUGCGAAGUAGUGAUAUUCCGCAUCGGAGAGCGAUGAGCCCCUGCCGUUAAACCCCCAACUUUCCAAGGUUGACCUCAGAUCAGGUAGGAAUACCCGCUGAACUUAAGCAUAUCAAUAAGCGGAGGA
rnacentral:misc_RNA from 1 species